rnacentral:rRNA from 1 species
UGGGGAAUUUUCCGCAAUGGGCGAAAGCCUGACGGAGCAAUGCCGCGUGGAGGUGGAAGGCCUACGGGUCGUCAACUUCUUUUCUCGGAGAAGAAACAAUGACGGUAUCUGAGGAAUAAGCAUCGGCUAACUCUGUCNCA